rnacentral:lncRNA from 1 species
ACAUCCAUACCAAAUAACAAAUCUACAUCAGUACAGCAAACUUCUGGUCACUAAGCUCCCAUGAAAAAAAAAUACAAAGAACACCCACACACAUACCACAUGUGCACUCAUGCACACACAACAUGCAAACCACACAUUGAAAUUAGUAUCUGCUAGAUGAAAAGGGCUGAAAGAUCAAAUCAGUGCUUACCAUGAAAUGGCUGGGUCUCCCAGCUUUUACAUCAGUACUGCCCCCAGCAUCGCUAACAGGGGUGGGAUAAUCACUACUAGAUCCAGUAGAAAUGUUAUACAUGGAUGAAUUGUCCACACUACCAGGUAAAGGUGUCGGCACAUUCCCAGGUAAAGGUGUUUGCACAUUCCCAGGUAAAGGUGUUUGUGCACUUCCUGGCAAUGGUGUCUGCAUGGGGGUUUGCAAAGGUGUCUGCAAUUCCAAAAACCCACGUAAGAAAUAGAAAUUCCAACAGCCAAAAUAACUGAACUCAUGAAUCGCUUCAAAAAUCACAUACAACUAACAGAUAUCAAAACUGCCACCGACAAUUACUUAAGAAUUCAAAAACUACUCAACUAAAAUCACGAUUUACCAGUACAAAGACUGGAUAAUGUGAAAGGAAAGUGUUUCCACUAGCUCGUUUCAAUUUCAGGUUCAGAGAAUUCAAAGAAGUGCUAAAAACGAGUAUACCAGCGGAAUCACUUGACGAAAUUCAGUGUUAAUGACAAGAAAAUUG